rnacentral:tRNA from 1 species
GGGAUCGUAGCUCAGGUGGUAGAGCACUUGACUUUUAAUCAAGUUGUCGAGGGUUCGAGUCCCUCCGGUCUCA